rnacentral:lncRNA from 1 species
AGAAACAGAACCGAGCACUCUUCUUGGGCCACAUCAAACAGCUGCGUCAUUGUACCUACCAUUACCAACCAUACAUACAUAUCAUCAUCUCAUCUCAUCCUUCCCUCAAUCAAUAUCAAACAUACCAAUGUUCAUUGCAGGUGGAAGAGUGAACUGAAUCAUCAGCACAAACCGAAACAGCGGAUCCCUAGGCACCAACCCUAAAUGCGCGGCUGUGAGCACAACGCCUAUCCCAAUAAUAGGAAGUAACACGUAUUUCACAACGAUCACGGCCACUAUGAGCAGGGGGCUCAGCUUGGCCUUGCGCAGCCCUGCACAUGAAUCAAGCUUGUUCGGUUCUUGCCUUAUCUUAUAACAAAAGGAGGGAGAAAACUGUACCUAGCAUGAGGUUUCCUCCGAGUAUGAGGGUGAUGCAAGGAAUGGUUCCGUCCCUACAAAAACACGAGCCUGUUAGCGUUAGUUGAGAAGCGAGUGGCUGUGAAUAUGAAGGAACGUACCCGAGCAAUGAUAUAGAGUCGGAUAUGACUCCCAGCGGGGCGCUCUCACCAAUCAUAACGUCCCGGAGCCAUGUCACGGCCCCGAAUAUGAAUCCUAAAAUCUGAAAUUGGCUACUUUCAGCAUUGCACAGAUACGGAUAUAUCGAGUAAUGGAAAAGGCUAACUCACAGCAGCAACCACUGGAGGAGACAUUAGCUCAUCUCCUACUUGAUGCAAAAUCCCCAUCACUUGACUCCAUCGCUUCACCUCAAUCUUCAAACAACAAAAUUUCCAUUUUCACAUUCAAGGAGUUUUUUUAUGUUUCUUGAAACCUCAUUCUACUCACAGUUUGGAGUUGGGAGGGUGCAUGCUCUGCUCCAUUUAGAAGAAGUGACUUCUCGUUCGCCUCCAAAUCCUGGUUAGCCUGCUUUUUAGGAUCCUCAGCUUCGAGAGAUGCUCUGUAUAUAACCCCAGCGCUUCGUAUCAAGUGGAACGUGUAAGUCCAUAUGUAGAAGGCGCCAACCUAUGAUUCCACCAACAAGAAACAGACAUGUAUUCGAGUUGAGAGAGCAGAAUCAGACAUAUUAAUAAAGUGAAAGAGUUAGAUGAAAUGAGAAAUCUUACAGCCAUUGAAUAAGAAACAUAUGAAAGUCCGAUUGUGGAGCAGACAUUGGCAUCUCCGAAUGGACUGCCGUUUUCCUUGCAGAUUGCAGGGAUGAUGAUCAACAGAAUGUUCCCCAAGUUUCCUAUUUCACUAGUGUUAGUUUCUCCAAAAACACUCUAGUCAAGGAAUUAUAGAUUAGGACAACAACCUGCUGAACAAAUGGCUAAGAUGAGAUUUCGUAUAUGUGGUUCUGGUCUAAGUAUUUUAACCACGAUCCAUCCAAAACUCGCUCCAAACAAGAACGUUAACCCGAUGUUCACAGGCAUGAACCACCUGCAACCAACAAUUUCUCAAACAUUCAUCUAAAAUGCAAGUUUCUCAUCACAAACACUAAUUCAUUCCUAGUACCAUACCAUGAGAUGAUCUCUUGGAAGUUGACACUCUUUGCGAGGCUUAUAAACACGAGUGAUGGAGUGAAGGCCACAUACACAAUCUGCAUUGCAUUGCAUUGCAUUGUUCACACACGCUCAAAACACACUUUCUCGAAUCACAAAUUAAUUGAUAUUCAUUCAAAAACAAACAACCUACUUUGUUCAUGUACUUUCUGGCAUCAGGUGGGAGGAGCUUGAGGUAAUCAGUUGCCAUGAAAGCUCCAAGCNAAUUUUUGUUCAAAUUAAAGCUGACGUGGCAAGUCGAAAUAUCGACAUGUAUUCAUCGGACGUUUUAAAAAAAUGACAUCAUAUAGGACAUCUCUAAAAGAUAUCGUAUAAGACAUCUCUAAACCCGUAAAUCGUAAGAUUUUUAUGGAGUUUGAAUAUCGAAUACUUGAAUUUGUGAUAAAAUUGCUACAACAUUAAAGUUCAUGUAUUUUUUUACACCUUUCAAAAUUCAUGUGCAAAACCAAACUACCCCAAAGUUGGUGUAUUUAAGCGCCAAUAACCCUUAAUUUUUUUUAAAAAUGCAUAUAUCAUUUUGGCUCUUAAAUUUUUAUAAUAGAAUGGGCAAAAUAACCCAAUUAGUUGUUGGAGAGACCCAACCUCAAAUAGGAGUUUUUUUUUUUCGACGCAAAUACAUCAUAAAAUGAGCUGGUGGUGCAACCCCGACCAGCAUAAUACAAAGCCCUUUAACCAAAUUUGUCAUCACUAACCCAACAACCCAUUUCGAAACUUCUACUCUCACCUCCACCUCUAACCAUAAUCACUUUAUUGGACUCCAAAUUAAGUAAAUUAGCUGUCGACCUAACAUUUAAACAAGAUAUUGUAUCUUAUCAAAUUUUAACAUCUAAACAAUAAUUUUUGAAUACUUGAAUUUGCAUCUUCAACAAUCCAUUCCUCCACAUUGUAGGACACGAUACAUGUGUAAUAGCCCAUUAGGAUGCAUCAGAGAACAAUACAAUUAGGCACGAGGUCACAAUCUUGAUGAUGCUUUGUUUGAGGGUUUAGGUCAAGAUCCACAUGAAGACGGUGGACCAGCCGGUAAGAGCAAUGGCUGCAGCCAGAUAAGUCCACAGAAACAGAACCGAGCACUCUUCUUGGGCCACAUCAAACAGCUGCGUCAUUGUACCUACCAUUACCAACCAUACAUACAUAUCAUCAUCUCAUCUCAUCCUUCCCUCAAUCAAUAUCAAACAUACCAAUGUUCAUUGCAGGUGGAAGACUGAACUGAAUCAUCAGCACGAACCGAAACAGCGGAUCCCUAGGCACCAACCCUAAAUGCGCGGCUGUGAGCACAACGCCUAUCCCAAUAAUAGGAAGUAACACGUAUUUCACAACGAUCACGGCCACUAUGAGCAGCGGGCUCAGCUUGGCCUUGCGCAGCCCUGCACAUGAAUCAAGCUUGUUCGG